ACGGGAGGCAGCAGUGGGGAAUAUUGGGCAAUGGGCGAAAGCCUGACCCAGCGACGCCGCGUGAAGGAAGACGGUCUUCGGAUUGUAAACUUCUUUUAUCAGGGACGAUAAUGACGGUACCUGAUGAAUAAGCCACGGCUAACUACGUGCCAGCAGCCGCGGUAAUACGUAGGUGGCGAGCGUUAUCCGGAUUUACUGGGUGUAAAGGGUGUGUAGGCGGGAUUGCAAGUCAGAUGUGAAAACUAUGGGCUUAACUCAUAGCCUGCAUUUGAAACUGUAGUUCUUGAGGGUCGGAGAGGUAACUGGAAUUCCUGGUGUAGCGGUGAAAUGCGUAGAUAUCAGGAGGAACACCGGUGGCGAAGGCGGGUUACUGGACGAUUACUGACGCUGAGACACGAAAGCGUGGGGAGCAAACAGGAUUAGAUACCCUGGUA
rnacentral:rRNA from 1 species